AAUGCACCCUUAACUUCUUCUCCUUUGUUCGUCUCCUCUCACUGAGUCUGCCUUUGUCUUCACUCAUCGCUGUUCUGUUUUUUAACUUUUCAGCAUUUUCUGCUACAUCUGACCGGUCUUCCAUUAUUUCUGUCUUUCUAUCCUCGCACUCCCAAACCUUUGGCCUCGUCCUAUGAAGGCCACUGGGCUGGCUGCAGGUGAGUAGGCGAGAAUGGGGUAAGUUGAGAAUUUGAUUACAUUCAGCAUCAUGAUGUCAAGGGAAAUAUAGUAUUCUUUCUAUCAAAGAUAUCUACAUAUAUUUAAGGUGUAGCCCUGGAAAUAAUUAGAUUUCAUGUAAACAAUACGGUAUGGGGUAAGUAGAGCCCGGGACAGGGUAAGUUAACCCGCCUACAAAUGUCUGUACUGAAUGAAAUACAACCACUAACUUAUUAAAACCAUUUCUAUCUUUAUUCCCCAAACACUUUUUUGUGUUUUAAUAAUUUGAAGCAUCUUUUAACACAAGCCUAACACCUAACAAACAAUUUGUACUUAAAAAAAACAACACUUUUAACAUAGGCCAGGCCCUGUUGUUACCUCAUAUUCUAGCGGUAAUCCCUUGGUAAGAAAACACUUACAUUUGCUCAACUUGCCAUUGGCUGAAUUUAUGAUGACUUCUUCGUAAAUAUUUACUGAAAUGAUACAUUUUGUGUUUCCUAGAAACGAGGUUGGCUCAACUUACCCAUUUGCCUCAACUUACUCACUCUCCUCUACUGCUCUGUGGUGUUUCCAAGUGAGACAUCAUACACAAACCAGAAACAAUGGAAGGUGUGACCUCAAUCUAUGAGCCUAGCUACAUUAGCUUUGUAGCAAUGAAGUAUUAUCUCUAUCCUGUAGGAGGCAGUGUGCUACGGACAGCUUGUGGACAAAACUGGUGCUUGCUGGCUGUAACAGCAACUCCAUGUGGAAGUUGCCUGGGUUCCAGUGGAGAUGCUGUUACCUGCAGAGAGUUACCCCCAUCCAGCUCUGACAUAAAAAUCAAUGUGAAGAAUAUCCCUGUCCUGUCCUGUUAAUGGCCAUUUCAUUCCAGUUAUGAUGUUUCUCCCCUUUUGGUUGAACUCACUUACAUUUGCUCUACCCACAUUGUGAUGCGUUUUGUAAUGAGAUUCAUUGUUAAGAACAGUCUCUUGAUCAUUCGACAGAUUGCAGCUCCUUGUUCUCUAUAACAACAUCAGGUGAAGUUAUUUAUGCACUCCAAACGUUGGUUAGAAUGCAGAGUCAGGCUAAAAGAAGAAUGGGACGCAUGGUGAUGACCUAUGAAUUGACAGCCAGUGUUUGCAACACGACUGCCUGUCAGUUAUGUAGGCCACUGCCGUGUCUGUCCUACUGAGCACACACAGGUUAAGAUAGAGAAAAUUAGCUCAUUGAUAUGUUUGAUAAAUUAUCAGGAAACUAUUAUGUAUUUAUGAGACCACUGAUAAUAUCCUGUAUAGUAUACAUUUGUAAGUUAUUUGAAGCCAAUACGUUUUUGUUUGUUGCAAACCUUGGAAAUAAAUAUUGAAAACAUCACUCUCUAAUUAUUGAAAUAAUAUGAUACCUGUUAUAAGUGCGUGACUGUUAGUGGGGAAAAAUCAACUAAAAAUUCAAGGAUUUUACACAGGGUGUCUAGUCUGGUAGAAGCUUAGUAUUUAUUGAGUGCUACCACAGGGUGGAGGUGUUUCAACAUAUCUGCC
ensembl:lncRNA